AGAACGAACGCUGGCGGCAGGCUUAACACAUGCAAGUCGAGCGCCCCGCAAGGGGAGCGGCAGACGGGCGAGUAACGCGUGGGAAUCUACCCAUCUCUACGGAACAACUCCGGGAAACUGGAGCUAAUACCGUAUACGCCCUACGGGGAAAGAUUUAUCGCCAUUAGAUGAGCCCGCGUCGGAUUAGCUAGUUGGUGGGGUAAUGGCCUACCAAGGCAACGAUCCGUAGCUGGUCUGAGAGGAUGAUCAGCCACACUGGGACUGAGACACGGCCCAGACUCCUACGGGAGGCAGCAGUAGGGAAUAUUGGACAAUGGGCGCAAGCCUGAUCCAGCCAUGCCGCGUGAGUGAUGAAGGCCUUCGGGUUGUAAAGCUCUUUGGCGGGGACGAUAAUGACGGUACCCGCAGAAUAAGCCCCGGCUAACUUCGUGCCAGCAGCCGC
rnacentral:rRNA from 1 species